rnacentral:rRNA from 1 species
GCUCAGGAUGAACGCUGGCGGCGUGCCUAAUACAUGCAAGUCGAACGGUCUAGCGCAAGCUAGAUAGUGGCGAACGGGUGAGUAACGCGUUGGUGACCUGCCCCGAAGUGUGGGAUAACAGUUCGAAAGGAUUGCUAAUACCGCAUGUGGUUAUAGGGAUUAGAUGCCUUGUAACUAAAGGAGUAAUUCGCUUCGGGAGGGGCCUGCGUCCCAUCAGCUAGUUGGUAAGGUAACGGCUUACCAAGGCGGUGACGGGUAGGGGACCUGAGAGGGUGGCCCCCCACAAUGGAACUGAAACACGGUCCAUACACCUACGGGUGGCAGCAGUAGGGAAUAUUGGUAAUCUGCGAAAGCGGGAACCAGCAACGCCGCGUGUGCGAUGAAGGCCUUCGGGUCGUAAAGCACUUUUCGAGGGGAUGAGGAAGGACAGUACCCUCGGAAUAAGUCUCGGCUAACUACGUGCCAGCAGCCGCGGUAAAACGUAGGAGGCGAGCGUUAUCCGGAUUUACUGGGCGUAAAGCGCGUGCAGGCGGUUCUGUAAGUUGGAUGUGAAAGCUCCUGGCUCAACUGGGAGAGGUCGUUCAAUACUGCAGGACUUGAGGAUGGUAGAGGGAGGUGGAAUUCCGGGUGUAGUGGUGAAAUGCGUAGAUAUCCGGAGGAACACCAGUGGCGAAAGCGGCCUCCUGGACCAUUUCUGACGCUCAGACGCGAAAGCUAGGGGAGUAAACGGGAUUAGAGACCCCGGUAAUCCUAGCUGUAAACUAUGUAGACUUGGCGUCGGUGGGUUUAAAUCCAUCGGUGCCGUAGCUAACGCGAUAAGUCUACCGCCUGGGGACUACGGCCGCAAGGUUAAAACUCAAAU